CGCAAGCCUGACGGAGCCAGACCGCGUGAGGGAAGAAAGCCUUUGGGUUGUAAACCUCUUUUCUCAGGGAAGAAACCUGACGGUACCUGAGGAAUCAGCAUCGGCUAACUCCGUGCCAGCAGCCGCGGUAAUACGGAGGAGGCAAGCGUUAUUCGGAAUUAUUGGGCGUAAAGCGUCCGCAGGGGGCUCAUCAAGUCUGCUGUCAAAGGUCGGAGCUCAACUCCGGUUCGGCAGUGGAAACUGGUGGGCUAGAGGGCGACAGGGGUAGAGGGAAUUCCCAGUGUAGCGGUGAAAUGCGUAGAGAUUGGGAAGAACACCGGUGGCGAAAGCGCUCUACUGGGUCGCACCUGACCCUCAGGGACGAAAGCUAAGGUAGCG
rnacentral:rRNA from 1 species